AGAAGCUCUUCUGCCAGCAUAUCUAAUUUUUACUUGAAAGUUGAAAAGCGGGGAAGCUUGUGCUUCAAAUAAUAUAACUUUGCUCUUCUCACUUUCUUGUGCCUGAUUACUUUAAUUUCCUUGAUCCUGGGUGAAUAUAUAGGGAAGGUAAUCUCAACUCCGACACCAGCAAUAAUCCUUCUGACACGGAUUGUGGUGUGAACACCAGAUUUGUGUUUUGCUAUAAUUAUGCCCUUAAAGAGCGACAAUCUCCUCUUGUUGGGCCGUUGCAUUCUAAGCUCAA
rnacentral:misc_RNA from 1 species